UGAAAAGUGCUUUCAGGGAUCGUUUCUAUAGUUCGUUAUUAGAGAAGUUUCUCUGACUGUGCAGAGCACCUGAAACCACCAGGAGGAGGCCCAGCGCUCUCCUGAGCGGGAAGGCAGCUCUUGGUGUUGCUUCAGUAACUGCCAUUUGUCAUUGGUGAUCCUUCUUAUCUCUCAUUUGAGAGAAUUAGAGGGAAAGGAUGUCAUCUGAGUGGA
rfam:Myotis lucifugus cont2.23885, whole genome shotgun sequence.